UACGGGGGGGGCAAGCGUUGUUCGGAAUUACUGGGCGUAAAGGGCUCGUAGGCGGCCAACUAAGUCGGACGUGAAAUCCCUCGGCUUAACCGGGGAACUGCGUCCGAUACUGGAUGGCUUGAGGUUGGGAGAGGGAUGCGGAAUUCCAGGUGUAGCGGUGAAAUGCGUAGAUAUCAGGAGGAACACCGGUGGCGAAGGCGGCCCUCUGGACGGUGACUGACGCUGAGACGCGAAAGCGUGGGGAGCAAACAGG
rnacentral:rRNA from 1 species